UACGGAGGGUGCAAGCGUUAAUCGGAAUUACUGGGCGUAAAGCGUGCGCAGGCGGUUUGUUAAGUCCGUUGUGAAAGCCCCGAGCUCAACUUGGGAAUUGCAGUGGAUACUGGCAGGCUGGAGUACGGUAGAGGAAGGUGGAAUUCCCGGUGUAGCAGUGAAAUGCGUAGAGAUCGGGAGGGACACCUGUGGCGAAGGCGGCCGACUGGGCCGACCCUGACGCUGAGGCGCGAAGGCGUGGGGAGCGAACGGG
rnacentral:rRNA from 1 species